rnacentral:rRNA from 1 species
AUUGAACGCUGGCGGCAGACUUAACACAUGCAAGUCGAGCGGAGAUGAGGUGCUUGCACCUUAUCUUAGCGGCGGACGGGUGAGUAAUGCUUAGGAAUCUGCCAUUUAGUGGGGGACAACAUUCCGAAAGGAAUGCUAAUACCGCAUACGUCCUACGGGAGAAGGCAGGGGAUCUUCGGACCUUGCGCUAAUAGAUGAGCCUAAGUCGGAUUAGCUAGUUGGUGGGGUAAAGGCGUACCAGGGCGACGAUCUGUAGCGGGUCUGAGAGGAUGAUCCGCCACACUGGGACUGAGACACGGCCCAGACUCCUACGGGAGGCAGCAGUGGGGAAUAUUGGACAAUGGGGGGAACCCUGAUCCAGCCAUGCCGCGUGUGUGAAGAAGGCCUUUUGGUUGUAAAGCACUUUAAGCGAGGAGGAGGCUCCUGUAGAUAAUACCUACAGUGAGUGGACGUUACUCGCAGAAUAAGCACCGGCUAACUCUGUGCCAGCAGCCGCGGUAACAC